rnacentral:rRNA from 1 species
CCUACGGGUGGCAGCAGUGGGGAAUAUUGGGCAAUGGGCGCAAGCCUGACCCAGCAACGCCGCGUGAAGGAAGAAGGCUUUCGGGUUGUUAACUUCUUUUCUGAGGGACGAAGAAAGUGACGGUACUUCAGGAAUAAGCCACGGCUAAGUACGUGCCAGCAGCCGCGGCAAUACGGAGGUGGCAAGCGUUAGCCGGAUGUGUUGGGUGUAAAGGGUGUGUAGGCGGGAAGGCAAGUCAGAUGUGAAAACUCAGGGCUCAACCCUGAGCCUGCAUUUGAAACGGUUUUUCUUGAGUGCUGGAGAGGCAGUCGGAAUUCGGUGUGUAGCGGUGAAAUGCGUAGAUAUCCGGAGGAACACCAGUGGCGAAGGCGGAUUGCUGGACAGUAACUGACGCUGAGGCGCGAAAGCGUGGGGAGCAAACAGGAUUAGAUACCCCUGUAGUC